AUGAGGAUCAAAGUACGAAUGGACACCACUCUACCACUGAUGAGAGGAAUUACUUUUGACGACGAGGAUGAAGAGGAGCUGGACAAGAUGAAGGAAACUAUGGUAAGUGAGGGAAAGAGAGAUGCAGUACAGGAGAGAGUGGUUUCCUUUGAAUACGAACACUUGCCUGACUUCUGUUACAACUGUGGGAUCAUUGGCCAUAGUGAAAAAGCUUGCCCAACCGGAACAAAAAGAGAAGGAGGUAGGCUGUAUGGUCCAUCGCUGCGAGCAGUAAUUUACAAGGGGAGUUCCAGGGAAGAGAGAAAUAGAGGACCAAGCGACAAGAGUGAAUUUUGGAGUGGGGGAAGAAAAGGUAGUAGGCAAGGAAGUGAUGGUCCGUCAUGGAGGAAGACUAUUCCAAGUGCCGGUGAUGAUUGCAAUAAAAAAGGUGUAGAAAAGGAAGCUGCUAGCCCUCUAAAAAUAACCCGAGAGGAGCAUAUAGAAACAGCAGGAGGUAAUGAACCGGUGUCUAUUGAAAAGCUACAAAACACCCAAACAGAGGGAGUGCAAAAAGAGAUGGAGGAGAAGCAUACACUGAAUGCAGUGGAGAGUCCAAAGGAAAAAGAAAUAAAAUCCAAAGAAACUGCAACUUUGGGCGACAAGGAGGCCAGAAAUACUUCCCUACAGCUGAUAAGCAAAGAGAAGAAGACCACUUUCAAACGCCAGGCGAGGCAAAGUUUAACAAAUGAUCAAAAGCCCAUGGAACCAAUCCAAAAAAAGAGGAAUGCUGAUUACAUGGAAAUUGAUGGAGAAGUUGAUCAAUUAAAGAAGACAAAAGUAGAAGGUGACAUAACAGAGAAGGUAUUGGAAAAGGAAAACCCACAACAACCAAGUGCGAUUUCGAACGCUGGGCUGCAGGGACAGCCCAGCGAGCCAAAAUGA
rnacentral:rRNA from 1 species